AGUGAACGCUGGCGGCGUGCCUAAUACAUGCAAGUAGAAGGAAGUGGCGCACGGGUGAGUAAUGUAUAGCUAAUCUGCCCCUUGCUGGAGGACAACAGUUAGAAAUGAUUGCUAAUACUCCAUAGCAAGGGAUGAGACUAUAACGUAUAAGCUAGUCGGGGGGGUAACGGCCUACCGAGGCUAUGACGCGUAACUGGGCUGAGAGGAUGAUCAGUGAAAUUGUAACGGAGACACGGUCCAAGCACCUACGGGAGGCAGCAGUAGGGAAUAGUGCGCAAGGGGGGAAACCCGAGCGCAGCAUCGCGGCGUGGAGGACGACACUUGUCGGAGCGUAAACUCCUUUUGUUAGGGAAGCGUUACCUAACGAAUAAGCACCGGCUAACUCCGUGCCAGCAGCCGCGGUAAUAC
rnacentral:rRNA from 1 species